UACGUAGGGUGCAAGCGUUAAUCGGAAUUACUGGGCGUAAAGCGUGCGCAGGCGGUUAUGUAAGACAGGUGUGAAAUCCCCCGGGCUUAACCUGGGAACUGCAUUUGUGACUGCAUAGCUAGAGUACGGUAGAGGGGGAUGGAAUUCCGCGUGUAGCAGUGAAAUGCGUAGAUAUGCGGAGGAACACCGACGGCGCAGGCAGCGUCCUGGCCGCGACCUGACACUGAGGCACGAAAGCUGGGGGAGCAAACAGG
rnacentral:rRNA from 1 species